UAGACGAAGGCGUGAUGCGGAGCGAAAUGAAGUAGUGAAGCUGCAGCCCCUUCCUGUCGAGAAAAGCCGCUAUCGUGUAGCAAGGGCCCGUACCGUAAACCGACACAGGUGGAUGAGGAGAGGAUCCUAAGGCCGGCGGGAGAAGUGUUGUUAAGGAACUCGGCAAAAUGACUCCGUAACUUCGGGAGAAGGAGUGCUGCGCAAGCAGCCGCAGAGAAAUGGCCCAAGCAACUGUUUAGCAAAAACACAGGUCUAUGCGAAACCGAAAGGUGAGGUAUAUGGGCUGACGCCUGCCCGGUGCUGGAAGGUUAAGGGGAGAGCUUAGCGCGAGCGAAGGUUUGAACUUAAGCCCCAGUAAACGGCGGCCGUAACGAUAACGGUCCUAAGGUAGCGAAAUUCCUUGUCGGGUAAGUUCCGACCCGCACGAAAGGCGUAAUGAUUUGGGCACUGUCUCAACAACACACCCGGUGAAAUUGAAAUACCAGUGAAGAUGCUGGUUACCCGCGCCAGGACGGAAAGACCCCAUGGAGCUUUACUCCAGCCUGAUACUGGGAUUCGGUAUUGCAUGUACAGGAUAGGUGGGAGGCUAAGAACUCAUGGCGCCAGCCGUGAGGGAGCCGGUGUUGGGAUACCACCCCUGCAGUACUGGGUUUCUAACCUGCGCCCGUGACCCGGGCGGGGGACAAUGUCAGGCGGGGAGUUUGACUGGGGCGGUCGCCUCCGAAAGGGUAUCGGAGGCGCUCAAAGGUCUCCUCAGGAUGGUUGGAAACCAUCCAGAGAGUGCAAAGGCAGAAGGAGGCUUGACUGCGACACCGACGGGUGGAGCAGGUACGAAAGUAGGACUUAGUGAUCCGGUGGCAUAAAGUGGGAUUGCCAUCGCUCAACGGAUAAAAGCUACCCUGGGAUAACAGGCUUAUCACUCCCAAGAGUUCACAUCGACGGAGUGGUUUGGCACCUCGAUGUCGGCUCAUCGCAUCCUGGAGCUGGAGCAGGUUCCAAGGGUUGGGCUGUUCGCCCAUUAAAGCGGUACGCGAGCUGGGUUCAGAACGUCGUGAGACAGUUCGGUCCCUAUCCGGCGCGGGCGCAGGAUAUCUGAGAGGAGCUGUCCUUAGUACGAGAGGACCGGGAUGGACCGUCCGCUGGUGGACCGGUUGUCAUGCCAAUGGCACGGCCAGGUAGCCAAGACGGGAAGGGAUAAACGCUGAAGGCAUCUAAGCGUGAAGCCCCCCUCAAGAUGAGAUAUCCAUACUCGAAAGAGUGAGAGACCCCUUAGAGACGAUGAGGUAGAUAGGGCAGAGAUGGUAGUGCAGCGAUGCAUGGAGUUGACUGUUACUAAUCGGUCGAAAGCU
rnacentral:rRNA from 1 species